rnacentral:lncRNA from 1 species
GGCUGUAGGUUGUUUUCACGAACCCACAGAGACAGAAACCUGCGGCAAUGGAGAAAAUGCUAAUACAGACAUCUUACUUCAGUGUCUGGCAAACAAGAUUAUACACUGAGGACGAUGUAGACGUCAGCUUCCCUGACGAGGGAAGCUGCAGCUUUCUGAUGAUUCCUGAAGCCUACAUUCUAUUAAUUUCCCCGAAGAGCCCUAUUGCCUAAUGGAACAUUGUGAGAAUGGCCAGUCUGGAAAGCAGGAUCAGUGGAGCUGGCUUCUGGCUCACUGGCUUUCAGCUGAGCCUUCCAAAUGGCUGGGAAUGAACAUCCAGUUAGAAGCCUCGGUUUGGAACAGUGGUUCUCAGACUUCAUGGUGUGUGACAGUCACUGGGGAACUUGUCCAAACACAGAUUGACAGACCCCAUCCCAAAGUUUCUGAUUCAGCGGCUCUAGGGAGGGCCCUAAGAACACGAGCUCCUCUUCCCAAGCUCCCAGGUGACGCUGAGGUUGCUGCCCCGGGAGCCCACUUUGAGAACUGCUGAUCUAGGGUGUGCUGGGGUAACUCUGGCUGUCAGAGGGGUCAGGACACUUGGUCUCCUUCUCUUUGGUCUCACUGAGAAUGUGAAUGUGAAUGGCCUUUUGAGGCCACUUGCACUGAGUCCUCUACAGGGCACACUGGACGGCGGGGGAGCGUCUGGAAGGGGUCUGCACACCGGCUUGCAGCCUCAGUGAUGCUCAUCUAGUGCGGGUCCUGCGUGGUCCCCAGAGGAACCCAGUGAGAAAUCCGGAGGAGACGGACAGAGAGGAGGAUGACUUCCUUUUGUAUUACAACGUCAUGAUUACAAAUAAUCAUAAUAGAGUGCCCAUUUUAAAGUGGCCUUUCCCUCCAAGCACACAGGAGACUCCCUCAGAUUCCCUAGGAAACCAAAGAAAUACUGAAUCUACUCCACAAAAGGUACUUGGUUGGCUGCUUCCCCAGGAACAUCCCUCCAUCCUCACGGGUAUCCCGCCAUGGACCUCGGGGAGCCCUGGACAAACAUGCAUGUGUGCGACGCUUGUAACAAACCUGCAAGGUUACCAAGGGCUUCAACGACAUUUAUUCUCCCAGCAAGCAAGUCAUGAGUGUGUCCUGCCUUAUCUAUGGUGGAAGGAAAGUACACAGAACUAGGACGCACGUGUCUAUCCCGGUCUCUGGUCUCUUGUCCAGCGAUAGCAUCCUCCGGGCUGCGUGAACUCAGCUUGGGGCUGUGAAGGGACAGCCGUAUAUCUUGUCACCGAGGGCCACCGCAAUGGGGAGCUGCACCUGACACAUUUACAUUUCACAAAGAUAUCUGCCACUCCGUGGACACGGACCAGCAAGAGGCUUGGAUGACCUAGGAUUCUGAUGAUGUAUUCUCCAUUUCAAUUCUAGACUGUGUGCAAACUUCAUUCUUUCUUCUACGUUCUUUAGUUAUGACUAUUACAGGAGAAAGGAAAAAAUCGAAGGUGAAGGAAGCAAAGACAGAAAGGAAGGACGGUUUGGUGGCCAGAGCGAGGUCUUCCCACGUCACUCCCGGGACGUGUGCUGACGCGUUGCUCCUCCGUCCUGCAGAACGCCGUGGGUCGUGGCAGCAGCUGCAGCUGUUUCACAGGCUGUCCUCCCUGUAGACUAAGCAUCUACUCCGCGCUAUAGGGCAAUGCGAGACAAAAAAGACCCCCGGGAGCUUGCCAUCCAGCUGAGGAAGCCUAAUUAGCCACGCUUCCUGUAGCAUACAGUGGUCACUUUCUCCUCCAUGGAAGUAUGUCUGGGCCCACGCACCCCACUGCUUCCAGAGCCUCCACGCGCUGUGUGUCCCCCGUGGCGCUUUGCUUGCCACCGAGCCCUGCGUCUUGAGAACUCUGAACGGUUUGUUGUAGUCAAGACACUCGGAGAUCCUAGAGACGCGAAAAGCAGGAGGGGAACGUGUGACGGCCACUGCGAGGCUCAGGGAGAAUUUAAUUCAAAUUUGGAUUUUUCUCACUCUUACGCUUUGGGGCAAUACUGUUAAAUGGUAAAUAUAUAGCCAUUGUAUGAACAGCAAUACACAAAGGAGUUAUUUGGAAAUGAAAGCCUUAUUGAAGGCACUGGAAAAAUUAAACAAAUAAAUGUUUCCUUUAGAUUGCUCAUUC